ensembl:lncRNA
ACAGGAAGAAUCCAUCAUAAUUUCGAGGGCCACUUAAUCUUUUCUAAGGCUGACUGCGUAUCUACAAGGCAUGGGAAUCCACUAAGGCGGAAGGACUUAGGUGUACCUUACAUUCAAAGAUAUGCAGUAGAAUGCCUGUUGGGUUUCACUAAUCACCAAUAAAUAACUCAGUGGUUUAGGUAUGUGGUUGCACAGCCAGAGUUUGGGAGUUUGAUUCCCCAUUGUGCCUCCUUGAUAGGGUCUGGACUCAAUGAUCCCUAGGGUCCCUUCCAGUUCUGCAGUUAUAUAUAUAUAAGCUUUAUGGUAUCCUGAUCUGAUAAUAUAGUUUGUUGUUAAUAUUUCAACAGCAUCCCCAAUCCUUCAGCAUUGCUAAAACUUUCUUUGAUUUUUUUGGAUCUAAUCAUCAUCAUCAUCAUCAUCAUCAUCAUCAUCAUCAUCAUCAUCUUAGAACUAGAGUUAGAAGGGACCCUAUGAAUUAUAGAGUCCAGCCCCUGUCAAGGAAAAACGGUGGGGGCUUGCACUUGGAGAUAUUUCUUGUUUUUGUUUGUUUGUCUGUUUGUGUUUUGGUAGGGAACUUUACAAUGUAUUUGUAAUUAUUUAUUACAAUAGUUCUCGAACUUUACGAUUUAUUUGUAAUUAUUUAUUACAAUAGUUCUCCUUGUCCCUAAAUGCAAAUGAUCCAUUGGAGUGGAAAGAAAGAGGCAGGCAUGGUCAUGUUGGUUUGGUUUCACUUAAUUGAAUGUAUUAAUAACUCAAAUGAUGGUAAUGACCUACCAGUAAGGAACACUGCCACAUGUGGAGACCACACUUAAUCAGUGGGUGAGAAUUAAUAUCCUCUAGUUAGACGUAAUGACCUUCACUGUUAGCAGUGGCAUGUUCAGAGAAUUGUCUCCCAGGAAAUUGUUCAUUGUUCACUGUUUACUGUUUUGUUAUAUAGUUGAUUUGUUCUUUUUAUUAUAAUUUUGGUUAUGAUUUUAAUUUAUCACAAUUAUAAGCAACUUUCAAAAAACAAAGAUAUGUUGAGGCUGAAUUUCUUCUUUUUUUAGUUUUUCUUCUCUGCCCUGCAGCAAAGAUUGCCACUUGCAACGCUGAACAGCUAUACCUGAAGACAUGUACAGUUCACUUGAAGCUGGAACAGUUAAUUACGAAGCAAAAUCCUACUGGUGAUUUACAUUGGCAUGGGUGUAAUUACAUAAAUCAUAGCAGCAAAUCACCAUUAAUCAAUGAGUUGUUGUUUGCACUUCUGCUUGUUUGCCAAGGCACACAACUGGCACAUAAUUAGGAACGCAAGGAACAACUUGUUAAAUAGUGGAAAUUCACUGUUGUGACUUCUGCAAUUCCUCUUAUGCCUGAAUAAGAACUCAGAUAGAAUUCCAGCCGUUUACUUAUUAGUUACCUUAAAUCAAGGUGGUGCUGCAGGCUGAACCACAGAAGCCUGUGCUGCAGGGUCAGAAGAUCAGCAGUCGUAAGAUCGAAUCUACGCGACUGAGUGAGCUCCCGUCACUUUGUCCCAGCUCGUCGCCAACCUAGCAGUUCAAAAGCAUGCAAAUGCGAGUAGUUAAAUAGGUACCACCUCAGUGGGAAGGUAAAAUGGCAUUCCCUAGUCACGUUGGCCACGUGACAAUGGAAACUGUCUUCGGACAAGCGCUGGCUCUAUGACUUGAAAACGGGAUGAGC